GCUUCAGUUUUCAUUUGUUGUAAUCGUGGGCCGAAUGUCGUUGUGUGGCCGUGAAGAUAGAGUUCUUCCUUAACCCUAAUACCGAAGAGACGAUGAAUUGACAUCUUCUGAUAUCUAUCUCCGGCUGGCUAGCAGCCAUUGUUUUCCGGAAGUUCGAGCAAUGGGUUCCUCUGUGAUUACUUCAUUGUCGCUGAGCUUCAAACAAGUUCCUCCAACAGCUGUUCCUACUUUUCUCGACUAUGUUCUAAGCUCCACAGGCGUGUCUCCCUCCACCCUUUUCGAAUCCCUCAUCAAAGAGUUGUCUUUUCGUGCGGAGGUAAUGAUCUUUCUUCAAUGUAGUUUCCUGUCCAUGAUUGGUUUUAUUGAAAAGACUUCCAUGUAUUUUUUUGUAAUAAAACACCAUUAAUGGCGACAAGAAAUUCCCUUCUGAUGAUUGCAACCACAUUGCUUCGUUGGUGGCUGGUCUUUGUCAUCUACUAAAGAGUUUUGUUGUUUGUGUGGAGAGUGUUUGUUCCACUGAUGAAGAUGGUUCGUGCUUAUGACUUGGAUAUGCUUAAUAAGGUGAAUCUUCCUCCUCCUGCUGUCUAUUGAUUAAAGCCCACAAAGUCACAUAUCCUUGGGCUUAUUUGAUCAUCUUUCUCCUCCUGCUGUCUAUUUAAUCGUUCUUUGAUGUUGUGAUGAAGACAAGUGCAUUGGUUGUAUUGGAAGUGAGUUUGGUACCUUUUUUUACUGAGAUCAGUUGGGGUAUCGAUAAGAAUGCUUCAACACAAAGAAUCAGAUUUCAUUAAAUGAGUAGAGCUGUUGCUUCGUGACUCUUUGAGUACAAAUAAUAUGUAUGAAAACUACAUUGCAUCUUUUUCUGAGUCAUUUCCGAUUCCACUGUCGUGCCAUCUCCUGAAUCUGUUACUGAGCGCUGCUUUUCAAAGUCACCAAGCAGCUCGAAAGGUUGAUAAUUUCGCAGCUGGUAUGCUUUGCGAUUUGUGUAAUACCACUGAGAGGCUUUUGUCACAAAGUGUCGUGCAUCGUUCAUGUGCUGUUAGUUUCCUUCUCCCUGCUAUUUUCAAGGCAUUCUCUUCUCAGUCUUCUCUGAAGAUCUCACUUCAAGGGAAUGUGUACGUACUUUCAAGGAAUGGCUUCAAAAAAAGAAUAUGGGAAUGCUCCAAGAAGCUGUCCUCGGUUGGAUCAAUAGAGGCCUUUCUUCUGGCUCUUGGAUGGACGGAACAGAAAGUUAUGUCUCAGAAAAAGACCCUGUCGAAUUUGACUUUAGGUCCGAACACGAGUUUUGGGAAGAAAUCAAGAAAGACUUGAUAUGGCAAAAGUACCUGUUAUUCUUACAGAUUCUCUCACUUUCUACAAUAUGAUCAUCCAUGAGUGUAAAGAACCUAUCCUUUCAGGUUUUUGAUGAGAGCUUAGUAAGGAAGCAGUCAUUGCACAUACUGAAAUCAGUUUUAUCCAUAAGUGAAGUGAGUAAGACGAUUUUUGAGAAGAAUUGUAUGGCUCUGUUGAAUCUGCUUUGUUAGGAUAUUGUUUUGUCUCCCACUGAUUCUAUUGUUAGAUUCUUUUUCUGAAUAUAAAUAAUAUACAAAAACUAGGGCUGAUGAAA